rnacentral:lncRNA from 1 species
AGAAUCAGUUUAGAAAGGAAAAAAAAAAGUGAAGCAUGUAAAACAUAAAGAAUUAGAACUAGACUUUUUCAUUCACUUAACUCAUCCAAAUACUUAUUGACAUAAACAAUUGUAUGUUUUCUCUCUAUUCUAAAACAAAUACACACCAACCAAAUCAACUCAUUCAAGUAAUGUUCUNNNNNNNNNNNNNNNNNNNNNNNNNNNNNNNNNNNNNNNNNNNNUUUUUUUUUUUUUUGGUUUUGUCAUUCAAGUAAUGUUCUAAAUUGAAUUAUGUUCCAAUAUGUCAUGACAUUCAUGAAUGUAUAUCUUUCCAAUGUUUCUUUGUAGUACAAAAUUACAGAGAAACAUUGAAAUUUAUAACUGUGAAAGAAGAUGAAACACACACCUAGCUUGUCUCCAAAUAAAUUUAAGGCAUUGUGUCUUCGUCCCAGUGAUGUUGUUUUUUCUUUAUUUGAGCAUAUCUAACAAAAAGGUACACCUGAAACAAAAAUAAACAACUAUUCAUACUUUUGUGUAAGUAUUAUAAAUCAAGAAAUACUAGACAAAAUUAAAGAAAAGUUUAUAUUCAUCUAAAAAAAUUAUAUAUAUAUAAAAGAAUAAUAUGGUUUCGAUUGAUUGAAUGUUUCUAAUAAAUAUUCGACACACACACACAUUUGCUUAAUCUAUAGUUAAAGAAAAUAUAUCACUCUAAUUUUAUUUUUUUUGUGACUAAAUAUAUCACUCUAAUCUAGAAAUUAAAUAUAUCACUCUAAUUUCGAAAUUAAAAUAUAAAAAAUCAAUCCAUAAAUCAUCAAAAUGAAGAAUUGAUUUUAUUUUUUUUUUUGACGGCGAAGAAUUGAUUAUUAUUUGAUGUGAUUUAUAAUAAUGAAAUAAUUAAGGAGUAGAGAAGAAGAACUUACAAUGAAAGCAAGAAAAAAACCAAAUGCCGAUAUCGAUAUGAGAAUACAUGUGAUGUAACAACAAUAACUUUUUGGUGCUUCAAAUUCUUCUUCUUCUUCAUCAUGCACUUGUUGUUGUUGCUGUUGUUGUUGUUGCUGCUGUUGUUGUUCACUGAGAUUCAUUUUUUAGAGAGAUCAUUCAUUUCUUUGAAGAAACAGAACCAUUAUGGAGUGAGAACAAAAUAGAAGAUCAAGAUACUUCAACUUCGGAUCUCUUUUCUUUCAUCUAUAA